GUUUGUUAGCCUUCUGACAUAUUUAUGGUUUGGCAGGCCAAUGUGUGAUUUAGGAGUCAAAAUGCUAACACAGCAGAAUAAAGAUUGCACGAAAAUGGAACUGCUGCUUUAGAGUGGAACUGACUGUAUUUUAAUUAACUUGUUGAGAUAUGUUAAUACACACCUCUGGUGCAGUUGGAACUGAAUCCAGGCUUCCUGACUCAAAGGGAAUGUUUAGGAUAAUGUGCCAGCUGGUUUGCUGUAAUUAUGUGACGUCUACCAUGAAGUGACUAGGGACUGCCAACCUGCAGCCAGUUUCAGUAAACUCACCCAACAGGCCAGACAGUUAUCUUGGGGGCCUGAAAAAAUUCCCCUUCCUAGCAGAUAUCUAUAAAACAGUAUGGAAGUACAAGGGCAGUAAAAAAUGCUUCAUUACACAGUACAUGGAAGAACCAAAACUUUCCUUAUAAAAUAA